UUCAAUGUGGGUCGAAUCUACUCACCUUUAACAGAGAAAAAUUGCUUUGCUAAACCCUAACCGUCCUGCUCCUUUCAACUUUCCCCUCUCCGAUUUAUCAUUUCUCAUCUUCUCACUAAAUCUAUCUCGAAGUUUAUUAUCAAUGGCGAAGAAAAAAGAAGCUGCGAUUGAGCAAUCUGUAGGGAUAUUUAUUAAGUUCUCAAAUUCCAGCUUUUAUGAUAAUCUACUUAAGUUUUGAAUUUUUUUAGGAUUUUAUUAUUUAAUUUAUUCAGGUCUCAUCUAGAAUUGUUAAUGCAAUUUUAAUCUGAGUUGUUCAAAUCUUACACUAUAAAGUUUUAUGCGAAUCUAGGUUUGAAAGAUUUGAAGCAGCGGCAGCAGCCACACAAAACAACCGCCGCCUUAGGCCUUAUGAACCAAAUGGUUCCUUUAUCUCCUCUUUUAAUCUCUUCAAUUUCCAUUAAUGGCGCAUCUUCAAUUUCUAAGGUUUUUCGUUUUAAUCUGAAUUUUAAACUCCUGUUUCCAUAUCAUCUGAUUGUUUUGAUUGUGAUUUUUAGGGUUGACAAGAAGGUGAAGGUAUUGGCAAAGAUUAGCAAGGUAUCAGAAGAUACAUCAGAGUUUAGAACAUUCAAAGGUAUUGGAGUGGAGAAGCUUAACUGCUCGGCAUUUGAUACCACUAAAUUUGACACCAUUCUCAAAAAGUUGAGUGAUCAACUUAUUUUUUUUUCCCCUUCUAAUUUCAUCAUCUCUACUGCUUCUUAUGCUCUAAUUGUUACAUUUAUGUAUGUGUAUUUGGUGUAUCAUCAAUUUUUAAAGAAUUGUUAUAUAGUUUCGGUAGGCUGUAUCUUUGUCUUAGCGAGAGGGCAGUGGUUUUAGUUGCUUUAGUGGUGGUUAAAGUAGGUUGGUGAGUGGGGAUUAUGUUAGUUGGAGCAAUAGGGGUACAGAGGGAGAGGGCAGAGGGAGGGGGGUGGGAGGGAAUGAGUUAACUAAGGGUGAGAUAGUUAACGAAAGAGGUGAAAAUAUUUAAUAAUGGGGUAUAUGUAAGUGUGUACUUAAAAGACUUCCUUUAUAAGUUUGGUUGAUGGCUUUGAAUUUGGAUUUAUAAAUUAACUACCAAAAGGCAGUAGUCAAGUAGAUUGAGCUGAAAGAGAACCCCAAUAAUCAUAAGUAAUCAAGGCCAAGCUUGGGGAAAAAUUCUCCAUUAUGUUAUUAUGGCAGUAACUUAAUGGGAUUGCAUGAUAUGCAAUUUUAGAGCUAAUGCUAGCAGCGUGCAGCUAAAAGAUUCAAGGUUUUGCCAAUAGUUUUUGUUUAAUAAUACUUGAUCUGCCAAUUUUUUUCCAUUUAUGAUUUUUUUAAUUCAUUGUCUCAUCACUUACCAUUGCUAUUGUCUUCAUGCUACCAAUUUUUAUCUGCCAAUGCAUGAUUCAAAUUAUAUAUGUUUUUCUUCACUAUCUUUGCCCAUCUGUUCUUUUAAUGUUACAUUUAUACAACAGAUCUGAUAUGCAGGGGAUGAAACUAUUACCAACACUACUAGAAAUAGAGUAGUUUCUCAACACAAUUGUCAGCAACAAAACUUUCCUUAACUUCGGAAAUUUGCAUAGAACAUUCAGCUUCAAUAUUACCACUGUUUUGUAACAACGAACCUUGAUAAUCUACUGCCUUUCAGAGCUUUUGGGAGAUAAAUCAGUAGACUCCUUAACAUUUUCUACUUUCUUCUCUGCAGAAAUGGAGUGUCCAGUAGCAUGGUAUUGUUUCCCCCAAGCUAGUCAAUAUGAACUGUACACGAUUUAGGGAUUUAAAGACACCCCCUUUAUUUUUGAUAUUAACGACUUGAUUUAUAAAAAGCCAUGAUUGAUCUUAAUGAGUUAAUGUACAUACGCUAUCAUAUUGAAGCUUCAUAUUGACUAGCUUGGGGAAAACUUCACGUGCAAUGCUGUAGAUGUCCUGGACCUUGUCCUGCAAUUUAUUAUUCAAGGUAGGGCUUGGGGCUGAUCUUGAAUUGUAAGGAAUUUGUCUCUCUUGCUAAGCUCUUUGUAUCCCCAAGACCCAACUGUGCAAUAUGUCAUAAUAAGAUAUAGGCUGUUGAAUCUUGAAACUUGUUUAAUUUGUUUCUGGUCCAUCAGCUCUUUGACAGAUGUGAUUGGUCUAAACUGUUUGUUGAUUCCUGCUCCAAAGCUAAUGUUUUUUAUGGGAUAGAUUGCCGUGUUAUCUUCUGCAUAAUUUUGUGUUAUAUUAUCCUUAAUAAGACAUAAACCUAGUUAUUGAUGUUUUCUGUAAUCUUUUUCUAGGAUGGGAUGAAGGUGUGCUUGGAAUGCAAGUCGGUGAAGUUGCUCGUUUAACAGAUCAAGAUGAUGGUGAAGGAAAAGAAGCCAAGGAUCCAUUAAAUUAGUACAACUCGUAAAGUUAUUAAUGAUUUGAAAAGGUCUUGUAAAAGAUAUAUUUCUUUUGUUAUGUUUUUUUUUGUAAGGUUUUAAGAAGUUGAUAGUAGACAUUAUUUAAUUGACUUAUUUGUGAUCAAACAAAAUAUUUUAGUGUGUAUUUAAUCAUUAGUUAAUUAAGACAGAUAUUAAUAUAUAUUAUUAUAUAUAUAUUAUUUGUCAUUUCUACUUAA